CAAAGUUGUAUUCAUUUCAGCAUAAGUGCAACAUCAGAAUCUGCUGCGCCUCCAAUCCUCAAUGCACUUGAGAUUUACCAAUUAACAUCACCACUAACUUUCCCAACAGACCAUAGAGAUGUGGAUGCUAUCUUGGACAUCAAAAUCACAUACAAAAUCUCCAAAUUGGAUUGGCAAAGUGACCCGUGUAUUCCCAAUUAUUCAUGGGAGGGACUUAGUUGCAUUUCUGGCACCAAUCACUCCUACGCAAGGAUCACCUCAUUGGAUUUGUCAGAUAAUAACUUAUCAGGAACAAUACCAGAAUUUCUAGCUAAAUUGCCGAAGUUGAAAGUCCUUAAUUUGAGAGGCAACGAGCUUACUGGUUCAAUUCCGAAUAUUCUGAAGGAGAAGUCAGAUUUGGAAAUGAG